rnacentral:lncRNA from 1 species
CAUGUGAACUACAUAACUAAAAACAUCCCAAGCAAGUUUUCAACCGCGAACGUCGAGUCUUGUUCCGGCGAGCUUUCCGACGAACUUCCGGCGGACUUCUGAUAUGCCCUCGAAUUUCUUCCGACGGACUCCCAGCAGGCUCCCGAUCUUGUGACGACUUCAACGAGUAGCCGAGCCUUCUCGGUGAUCUCCGUGAACCUUCGAUGAUCUCUUCGGCAAACUUUCAAAAAUUUCGACAAGUUCCUGAUUUCUUCUCGGUUGGUUCCGGCAGCAUCUCCGAUGAUUCUUCGGACUCUUAAACGUCCAUCGAAC